rnacentral:lncRNA from 1 species
CUGGUCAUCUUCCCUUGGUACUCCGCUACGGCGGCGUAGCUUGCCGCGGCUGCACGCUGCCAGGCCGGCCGGCGCGACGCGGGGCGCGGAUCCUCCUCCCGUUUCACCCCAAGUAACAUGCGCGAGAUUUGGGUCUGCUCCUCAGGACCUCAGCCCAUCCGUCGCAGCGUACGGCAAACGCCAGCCAUGCCGCCGUGGCCCGUGGCCGCAUCCUAUGCCCAGCGCCCCCGUCUGUCGCUUCCGGUUCACAGAAAAACUAGCAGCGUAAGUACAAACCGUGGUGGGAGUGGAGAGGCAGGUGGUCACUCAGGCCAAGGGAGCAUGUGAGGGCAUUAUAGAGUCACGCACAGAUGAG